UUUUCAAAUGGUUUUAGAUUUCAUCGUCUUUUCUUCUGAUCCCUCCUGGGCCCAUAAUCUGUUAGAUUUUAAUAAGUAUUACUUGUACAUAACAGAGAAUAUUGAAUGUAGAUACAGUUUGAUGAGCCAGAAGAAAUUCGAUAGUAAGCGUUUCGCCUUGACAUAUUCUACAGGAAGAAAAAGGGAGACUCACAAAAAAGGGGUUACACAGUCUUAGAUCAAGGGCCGUGAAUGAGCACACUGAAAUCUGUCAACUUCAUUAGUGACAUCUUAACACUUAAAAAGUUUUUGCCAUAUUUAACUUUUGGAGCCCAUCUAUGUUUGUGGCAUCUCAAGUACCUGUGCCUAAGUAUAAUGUUGCUGUUCUAUUUUUGUUUUUUAAAGCAUGAUAUGACAUUGGUUCAGUCAUACCAAAUGGCUGAAUCAGUUUUAUGAUUGAAUUCUCCACCAAGCCUAUGUUUAGUGGAGGAUUGAAUUCAAUGAGCUGAGGCCAAAUUUCUUUUUGUAGAUAUGGGACUUGGAUCCUCUAGGGUGGAAAAACAGUCUACUUCACUGUGGCCUAAACAUUGCAAUAAAAUAUAUUAACUAGAAAUGUACAAACUAUUUGAAACUCAAAUAAAGUCAAGUUUCAAAAUAAAACUAAAAUUUUCAAGCCAAUUCAAAACUGUAGUUUAAUCCAUGUAAUCCAGCACUUCCUAAAAUUUGAUAGUUUAUAAUCUGCUUUUUUUUCUAAUUUUGUAUUUUAUAAUCCAAUACAUUAAAAUUGCU
rnacentral:lncRNA from 1 species